rnacentral:sRNA from 1 species
GACUUCAACAUGACCACGGCAACAGA